rnacentral:tRNA from 1 species
GGGGCUGUAACUCAGUUGGUAGAGUAUUUGCCUAGCAUGCAGGAAGCCCUGAGUUCAACCCCA